CACAUGCAAGUCGAGCGGAGUUUAAUUAAGUGCUUGCACUUAAUUAAACUUAGCGGCGGACGGGUGAGUAACACGUGGGCAACCUGCCUUAAACUCUGGAACAACAGCGAGAAAUCGUUGCUAAAACCGGAUAAGCUCACGAAACCGCAUGGUUUUGUGAGAAAAUAUUUAUAGGUUUAAGAGAGGCCCGCGUCUGAUUAGCUAGUUGGUGGGGUAAUGGCCUACCAAGGCGACGAUCAGUAGCCGACCUGAGAGGGUGACCGGCCACAUUGGGACUGAGACACGGCCCAAACUCCUACGGGAGGCAGCAGUGGGGAAUAUUGCACAAUGGGCGAAAGCCUGAUGCAGCAACGCCGCGUGAAGGAUGAAGGGUUUCGGCUCGUAAACUUCUUUAGGCAGGGAAGAAAUAAAUGACGGUACCUGCAGAAUAAGCCCCGGCUAACUACGUGCCAGCAGCCGCGGUAAUACGUAGGGGGCAAGCGUUAUCCGGAAUUACUGGGUGUAAAGGGUGAGUAGGCGGUUUGGUAAGUCAUAUGUGAAAUUCGAAGCAACGCGAAGAACCUUACCCAAGGCUUGACAUCCCUUUGACCGGUGUAGAGAUACACCUUUCCUUCGGGACAAAGGUGAACAGGUGGUGCAUGGUUGUCGUCAGCUCGUGUCGUGAGAUGUUGGGUUAAGUCCCGCAACGAGCGCAACCCUUAUUUUUAGUAGCCAGCACGUUAAGGUGGGCACUCUAGAGAGACUGCCCAUGGAUAACACGGAGGAAGGUGGGGACGACGUCAAAUCAUCAUGCCCCUUAUGUCUUGGGCAACACACGUGCUACAAUGGACGGUACAAAGUGACGCAAGCUGGUGACAGUGAGCAAACCACAAAAAAACGUCCUCAGUUCGGAUUGUAGUCUGCAACUCGACUACAUGAAGUUGGAAUCGCUAGUAAUCGCGAAUCAGCAUGUCGCGGUGAAUACGUUCCCGGGCCUUGUACACACCGCCCGUCACANCCAUGGGAAUUGGAAGCGCCCGAAGUCUGUGACCUAACCGUAAGGGAGGAGCAGCCGAAGGUGAU
rnacentral:rRNA from 1 species